CUACGGGUGGCAGCAGUGGGGAAUAUUGCACAAUGGGCGCAAGCCUGAUGCAGCCAUGCCGCGUGUGUGAAGAAGGCCUUCGGGUUGUAAAGCACUUUCAGCGGGGAGGAAGGCGUUAAGGUUAAUAACCUUGGCGAUUGACGUUACCCGCAGAAGAAGCACCGGCUAACUCCGUGCCAGCAGCCGCGGUAAUACGGAGGGUGCAAGCGUUAAUCGGAAUUACUGGGCGUAAAGCGCACGCAGGCGGUCUGUCAAGUCGGAUGUGAAAUCCCCGGGCUCAACCUGGGAACUGCAUUCGAAACUGGCAGGCUAGAGUCUUGUAGAGGGGGGUAGGAUUCCAGGUGUAGCGGUGAAAUGCGUAGAGAUCUGGAGGAAUACCGGUGGCGAAGGCGGCCCCCUGGACAAAGACUGACGCUCAGGUGCGAAAGCGUGGGGAGCAAACAGGAUUAGAUACCCGUGUAGUC
rnacentral:rRNA from 1 species